UGGGGAAUAUUGGACAAUGGGCGAAAGCCUGAUCCAGCCAUGCCGCGUGUGUGAAGAAGGUCUUCGGAUUGUAAAGCACUUUAAGUUGGGAGGAAGGGCAGUAAGCGAAUACCUUGCUGUUUUGACGUUACCGACAGAAUAAGCACCGGCUAACUCUGUGCCAGCAGCCGCGGUAAUACAGAGGGUGCAAGCGUUAAUCGGAAUUACUGGGCGUAAAGCGCGCGUAGGUGGUUCGUUAAGUUGAAUGUGAAAGCCCCGGGCUCAACCUGGGAACUGCAUCCAAAAGUGGCGAGCUAGAGUAGGGCAGAGGGUGGUAGAAUUUCUUGUGUAGCGGUGAAAUGCGUGGAUAUAGGAAGGAACACCAGUGGCGAAGGCGACCACCUGGGCUCAUACUGACACUGAGGUGCGAAAGCGUGGGGAGCAAACAGG
rnacentral:rRNA from 1 species